rnacentral:lncRNA from 1 species
ACUGUUUCUUUAGGCACAAUUUAAAUUUGUUGGAGAUAAAUUAAUAUGAAUUUAAAUAUUUAUUAGAAUAAAAAUUCUAAUUAUACUAAGACUGUAGUACGUUUUAGAGGAUCUAUUAUAUAAUCAUUACUAGUGAAGGCCCGCGCUUCUCGGCGGAAAAUUUACGUAAUUUUUAAAAUAUUUUGAACAAAUUUUUUUAAUUUUUUAAUUUUUAAAUCUAAUUUAACAGUUUAAACUUUAAAAAAAUUCAAUAUAAAAUUAUAUAUAAUAAAUAAAUAUAUAUUUAGAAAUAAAAUUGUAUAUAUAUAUAUAAGUUAAAAUUAAAAAUUAAAAUUUAAAAUUCAUAUAAAAUUUAAAAUUUAAAAUUUAAAAUUGUAAAAUUCUCUCUCUCUUUCCCUCUCUCUCUCUCUCUUUCUCCCCUGACUCCCUCUCUCUCUUUUUCUCUCCCUCCCUGUGCAGAUGCUCUCUCUCUUCCCCUCUC